AUGGACUGUAGCCCGCCAGGCUCCUCUGUCCAUGGAAUUCUCCAGGCAAGAGUACUGGAGUGGGUUGCCAUGCCCUCCUCCAGGGGAUCUUCCCAACCCAGGAACUGAACCUGGGUCUUCCACAUUGCAGGUUAAAAGUGUGCUUUAAUGCUUCCCGUGGCUCAGUGCUAAAGAAUCUGCCUGCCAAUACAGGAGACACAGGUUUGAUCCCUGAUUCGGGAGGAUCCCACAUGCCACAGAGCAACUAAGCACCACAACUAUUGAGACUGUGCUCUAGAGCCUGGGAACCGCAACUACUGAAGCCCAGCGCUCCCUAGAGACUGUACUCUGCAACAAGAGAAACCACCCCAGUGGGAAGCCCACAUACCGUAAUUAGAGAGUAGCCCCCACUCACCUCAACUAGAGAAAAGCCUGUGUAGCAACAAAUAGCCAGCACAGCCAAAAGUAAAUAAAUAAAUAAAUAAAAAUUGUUUUAAA